rnacentral:rRNA from 1 species
UGGUUCAAUUCGACGCAACGCGAAGAACCUUACCCAGGCUUGAACAGCGAGUGACCACUCACGAAAGUGGGCUUCCGCAAGGACACUCGUAGAGGUGCUGCAUGGCUGUCGUCAGCUCGUGUCGUGAGAUGUUGGGUUAAGUCCCGCAACGAGCGCAACCCUUGUUUGCUGUUGCCAUCAGGUUAUGCUGGGCACUCUGCAAAGACUGCCGGUGAUAAACCGGAGGAAGGUGGGGAUGACGUCAAGUCAGCAUGGCCUUUAUGUCUGGGGCCACACACGUGCUACAAUGGCCGACACAAACCGUCGCGAGCCCGCGAGGGGGAGCUAAUCGGAGAAAGUCGGUCUCAGUUCGGAUCGUAGGCUGCAACUCGCCUGCGUGAAGUUGGAAUCGCUAGUAAUCGCGGAUCAGCACGCCGCGGUGAAUACGUUCCCGGGCCUUUACACUCCGCC